AUAAUUCUCAAUCAAGUUAGCUUAUAUGUUCAAUCAAAUCAAGUACUUUCAAAUUUGACAUAUAAAUAUAGGUCAAUUCCUUCUUACUUUGUCUGACUUGUGUGCAUGACUCCAUAGGUUCAAACACUAAGCCAGUAGCACAGGAACCAAUUCCUGCACUAAUCGAGAUACCAUCCAGCAAUGGUUUCCGAUGUCCAGAU
rnacentral:lncRNA from 1 species